UACGUAGGGUGCAAGCGUUAAUCGGAAUUACUGGGCGUAAAGCGCACGUAGGCGGCUUUGUAAGUUAGAGGUGAAAGCCCGGGGCUCAACUCCGGAAUUGCCUUUAAGACUGCAUCGCUUGAAUCCGGGAGAGGUGAGUGGAAUUCCGAGUGUAGAGGUGAAAUUCGUAGAUAUUCGGAAGAACACCAGUGGCGAAGGCGGCUCACUGGACCGGUAUUGACGCUGAGGUGCGAAAGCGUGGGGAGCAAACAGG
rnacentral:rRNA from 1 species